rnacentral:lncRNA from 1 species
AAAGCAGGGAGCCAUCUAGAAGGAGGCUGCUUCCGGGGUGUAAGAGUCAGAGGCAGGGAAGCUCAAGAAACAGGAAAAUGAAGAUGGUUUUUUGUUGUCUUUAAAGCCCAUGAUUUCAAGAAAAUGAGUCUGGGGUUAACAUGUUCUUGCUGCAGCUCAGCCAAAACCCACCUUGGCUCUUUUCUCUUCUAGAAACAUGGAGAAGACCAUCUGGGUACCAUUUUUGGAGGGAAAGAUGGCUCAUAUUGGCUUAAAGCCUACUGUUAAGUCAACUGGGUCCCACUUAUUUCCUAUUUUCUAGACCUUUCCACCCUGGGCCAUAUAAUUCUGGGUUCCACAGGUGUCUUUUAGGUCCUUCUCUCUAACCCUUUAUUUUACCUCUCCAUUCACAUUUCCUUUUAGUAGUUCAACUCCAAAUAGCAUGCAGUGCUCAGAAGGGACCAACCCCAGAAUCCCCUGGAUGAUUGCGUGCUGGACCUGUGUUGUUUAACUCAGUUUCUCAGUCUACCGUCAUGCUUACUGUUCUUAAGAGACACAUGAGACACAGCAGGUGUGAUCCCACCCCAUAGUAAGGCGUUAGGCCUCUUCUGUUGAUUUUACUUUCACCUUGUGAUCCAUCCCACAUUACUAUUGUCUUCCUAUCAGAUUUUAUUCUUUCAUCCCUUUCUCACUUUUUAAUUUUUUACCUACUUUAUUUGAUGGUAUCAUACUGGAUGCCUUUUUUCUUCCCUCCUCCUAGAUUUAAAACUUUAUACUGAUUAUCUUACUGAGUUUCACUGGAUUUGUUUUGAACCAAAUACAGAGCUUGUCAAAUUUAUUUUUAUAUUAAUUAAAAAUUUAGUCCCUGUUUGCAGCUUCUGGGCCGUUGGUAAGGCUUGUUUUCAUAGAAGGGUUUUUGCUGUAGUCAGAACCUCUGUGCAAGCAAACUGGCACCCAUGUUGUUGUUGGCUAACUUGACAAGGAAAAUAGGGCCAGUAUCCUGGUGAAGGAGCUCUGGCACUGCCCUUGUGGUUUGGUAUACUUGAAAACACUAAAUAUUUCAAUGCCCCACUCCUAACCCAGAGAAAAUAGAGUCAAGGGCUGUCAUCAAGUGGUGUGGCUUCUGGGUUUGAGAACACUCUUGGCUUUGUUGCAGAUUAGGG